GUCUCCAGUCUCUUAAAACAGUGGUGGCUCCUGAGGUUUACCCAUUCGUGGCCCACACCUGUUCAACACAUCCCAGACUAGGAAAGCUGAAAUAAAAGAAGAUCUGUGUUUCAUCAGAUGAAAGAACUAUGUAGUCCAACCAACCAUUUGCACAGUAGCCACUGUCAAGCAGAUGACUAACCUGUUUUAUUCAGCAAUGACACUAUGGGUCAAACUGAUUCAGAUAAUUGAGGCAAUAUAUAGACACAAUUUCAUCUUUAAUAGCCACUGAGACCUUUCUCCACAAUUAAUUUGUUCAGUCCUCUUUUAUAGUUCUCUGAAUUAGUGGUCAUCUCUCUCUACAUCUCUACAUAGUGAAUCUCAUACUUUCUGCCCUGGAAAGCAGACCCUUGGUGAAAUAAGCCUAAGGAAAGUACACCCUGCCUCCUGCAGUGCUCUUGCUCCUUCCAAACUAGCUGCACGGGGUCAUUUUUGGCUGGAGGUGGUGUAGGGAACACACAUUUUCUGCAAUCAGUUUAGUGAUCUGGAAGAAGAGAGUGGCCCUGUCAACUUGAGACAACAACAGUGGAAGUGAUUUGUGUUGCUGCUGGAGUCUAAAGGAUGGCUGCUCUUUGUCCUUCCUGCCUUCUGGAUGAGGCCAGCACUAAAUCAGUGCCAGUUUAUGUUACACGAUGACCUGAUUCUUCAGAUAGACUAACUGAAUACAGUCCAGGCUGAAUCGCCACUGCCCAAACCAUCUGUUAUGCACCUGCCAAGCCAGCUCAUUCACAAAUAUCUGCAUAAAUUCUUACUCUGUAAUAUUGCGAUUAGUUGUAGUUUGCUAUCACUGCGAUCCUAUUUCAGCUCUCUAAGUAUAAAAAGGAGAUAUAACGUGCUGACAUAAAGAGAGAGAUAUAGUCUACUACAGCCUUGAUAAAUACUCAACUGCCCGUGCCUCAAGAGUGUAGCCUUAUCAACAUUGUACGUUUACAGUAUUUAUUUCAAAACACCACAAAGACAGACAAAACAUUUAAUGAAGAGUUCUGCAGAACUCAAAAACUUGCAUGCACUUUUGCCGCACUCUGAUUGGUUGGAGUAAAGAUUUUAUUCCACUGUUAAGGACUUUUCCAAAGUCUAUGCAUUUAGCUGAAAAUGUCAUCAUGAGUCGUUUUUCUUCUUUUUGAUAACAAAGAAGGGACUUUACAUACAGUAGAGUCUCACUUAUCCAACAUAAACGGGCCAGCAGAACGUUGGAUAAGCGAAUAUGUUGGAUAACAAGGAGAAGCCUAUUAAACAUCAAAUUAGGUUAUGGUUUUACAAAUUAAGCACCAAAAACAUCAUGUUAUACAACAAAAUUGACAGAAAAAGUAGUUCAAUAUGCAGUAAUGCUACGUAGUAAUUACUGUAUUUACGAAUUUAGCACCAAAAUGUCACGAUGUAUUGAAAACAUUGACUACAAAAAUACAUUGGAUAAUCCAGAACGUUGGAUAAGCGAAUGUUGGAUAAGUGAGACUCUACUGUACUACUUUUUUAUGCCAUGUAAUUCCAUUUGAAAUCCACUCCAGCCAUUCUUGUGAGAGUAACUGAUGGCUGAGACUUUGUAUCAUACCCUUGUCAUAUUUGUACUUUAAGAAUGUAAUUUGCACAUUUUUGUGCACAUUAACAGCAUCAUUACUAACUUGUGAACUUCACGUCUUGCUUUGUGAUAGGUUUAUCAAUUUUUAAAAGAUUGUAGCUAGAAGGGUAGCAUAACAUUAUGAUGGUAGAAUGUGCUAUAAUCUAAUUACGAUAUAACAGCAAGCAAACAAACAAGAUCAGUUAUCAGAGGAGGGGCUUUAGAGUUGUUUAAACAUACUAGACAAGUAAUCUUUCCCUACCAAAGCACCUGAAGUGGUUUUGGAGUCCUUGGAAUCCUUGAGGGAGGGAUAAGCAAGUGCUAUAAGACACUUGAACUAGUUACUAAAUUGUUGUGGGAAAAGGAGGCCAUUCAACAUUGCUGGAUAAGAUGGAAGCAAAAAUGGGACUAAUGCAUUGCUAUGGCAGUAUAACAGCAUGGUGUGAUAAUACUCUCAGCAGGGCUGGCUGGUCAAUCUAUUUCUGUUACAGGUCAACUCUCAGCUUAUGUUAGCUUCUCUUACAGCUGUUCCUGGUUGUGUGGGAGCUAUCUGGGUUCUGGCCCUUAUUUUUAACAGAGGAUCAGCAGUAUGGAGAUCUUCCCUACAACCCAAAGCAGCUGGAAGAGACACGGGUGGAAAACUGAUAGUGGUUUCACUACACCUGUGCUUAUCGUCCACGAGGCCCCAUCUGUACUGCCAUAUAAUUCAGUUUCAGAAGGCAGUUUGAUUGCACUGAAGUGGAUUAUAUGAGUCUGCACUGCCAUAUAGUCCAGUUUAAGGUAGUUUAACUGCAUUUUGAAACUCCAUUAUAUGGCAGUGUAGAUGGGACCUGUUUUUCCAUUUCUGUGACAGCAUACAGUAUCUGAAUGAGAUGUUUCUUGCUCCAUAACCUACCAUUCUAUGUUUCCUGAAUGUAUAAAAUGCAGGAAAGGCCAGUAUAGACAACUGCAUUAAAUUCUUUGAAGAAGCUUAAAGAUACAAGUCAGAAUACAUCCUCCUGCCAAACCUGUAACCCCCAACAAUACGGUUUGUUUAAAAAAAACUGGCAACUUUUUCUCCCAUGGGAAGACAUUGGCACAGUAACCUCAAAUGAAUUCUGACUAACCCAGCUGGAAUGAAUGAAAAUUAAACUGUAUCAAGAGCAGAAAGAAGUCUUUACUGCCUUUGCUUCUUCACCGUUCACACUCAGCCCAAAUGCACAUGUGAAAUCACAGUACAAAACAGGAACAAAACUAACAGUCUUCUUUGGAUCAAAGUGAACCUUGAGAAUUGCUGUUUAUCAAAUCAGCAAAUAAAUAUCCAACAACAAUCGACCCAAAUACUUCAGCAAUCAUUCUUACCUCUAAUUAUCAGUGAUAUCCCUGUUUUGUGGGGAAAUCCCAAUGUCCUACAUGAAGAAUUUAUCACCUCUUGCAUUUUUAUAGGUAGUGAAUGCCCAAAAUACAUAAUAGUAUCUUCUGCCAGCAAUAUCAUAGAUUUCAAAGCCCAGUAAAAUAUGCAAUUUGGCAUGCUCUAGUUUUGAAGUUUCCACAAUCUGCUUUUGAUUUUUUUCACUAGGUUAUUAUUAAAAUGUAAAGAUUUAUUUGUGCCUCUUUUAAUAUGCAAUCAUAAUGAUUUUGAAAUGCAUAUCCAAUGAUCAGAAUGGUUGUGCCACUUGUAUGUUUCUUAUUAUAUUGGUAGAACCCAAAGCACAUGCAACAAAUCACAUAGCAUUUCAUUUAUAUAAAUUUACAGUGUGAAUUAUGCAGUCUAGUUGUAGUUGAAUUGAAGUUGUUAUUGAAUUGCACCUCCCAGCAUAUCUCACCCUGGGUUAUGCUGGCUGAGUAUGAUAGGAGUUGCAGUUCCAUACGAACUAGAUGUUUGCACAAUUCUCAUCUGUAAUGUAAACCAAUUCUUGCAAUAAUCUCUUAUAAGUUUGCCGGAUCUUUAAAUAUGACACUAGCAGAGGGAAAGCACUCUUCCUCUCCCACUCAUCUUUUGAUCACAUAUAUACAUCCAGAGUAAUACAUUAGGAGAUCCAGAACAAUAUGAAAUACAGUAAGAUGGUUACUCAUGAUAGUGAUAUUCUAAUUGAGGAAAUCCCACUUGUGACAUUUGUAAGGCUUCAGGACUUUUCUUCAUAUGUGGUAUUGGGUAAAAGUUAAAGGUUUUCCCCAGACAUUAAGUCCAGUCAUGUCUGACUCUGGGGGUUGGUGCUCAUCUCCAUUUCUAAGCCUAAGAGCCGGCGUUGUCCAUAGACACCUCCAAGGUCAUGUGGCCGGCAUGACUGCAUGGAACGCCGUUACCUUCCCGCCGGAGCGGUACCUAUUGAUCUACUCACAUUUGCAUGUUUUUGAACUGCUAGGUUGGUAGAAGCUGGGGCUAACAGUGGGCACUCACUCCACUCCCCUGAUUCGAACCUCUGACCUUUGGGUCCGCAAGUUCAGCAGCUCAGCACUUUAACGCGCUGCGCCACUGUGGAUUCAUAUGUGAGAUUAAGUUCAGAAAAUAUGUACAGAAAAUAAUGGUUUCUGUGUAUGAAACUGCAUCCCAACCAACAAAGUCACAAGCUAAAAUCACAGCACUGAGUAUCUCAUUUCAAUUCUUGUGUAUGCUUCCUUGCUUUCACAACACGAUUACAACUUUAUUAGAGCAUCUCUCCUUGUGCUAGAUGUCAUGGUGGCUGCCCAAGGAACAGGAUGCUAAAAACCAGGUUGAGAGUCAGCAAAACACAUGGAAAAGCUUGGGAGCAUUUGAAAAAUAAUGCAUGGUGUGAAAACUGUACAGUGCCUGUAUUUAUCCUGGGUGGGCCUUUUGAGGAGAAAAUUUCACAAGCAAAGUGUCACCAAUGAGUCACAAUUGGCAUCCCCUUUGAUGAUAUGGGACCUGGAAGAGGGCUUCUCAAGAUUCUAAUAAACCAGUUAAAGCAUU